rnacentral:lncRNA from 1 species
UCCUGGGCCCUGCUCCUGCCAUCCUGUCUGCCCAGGUGACUGGUCACACUGAGUUUUUAUCUUAUGGAACAAUAACAGUCGAGGGACAGAAGGUUUUCCAUCUCCCCACAAACUACUCUCCCUCAGAGCACCAGAUUCCAGACUUUGUGCAUCCACAGAUAAGUCACAGUCUCUUCCGGGGUUCAUUCGUGCCAGUACAGAAAUAGCCAACCAAACAAAGGAGACAGAGUUUUGCAAAAUCUGAGCAACCUCCAAGUGGCAAAAUGAGGUCAUCUAAG